GGGCGGUUGCCUCCCAAAAAGUAACGGAGGCGCCCAAAGGUUCCCUCAGCCUGGUUGGCAAUCAGGUGGCGAGUGUAAGUGCACAAGGGAGCUUGACUGUGAGACUGACAGGUCGAGCAGGGACGAAAGUCGGGACUAGUGAUCCGGCAGUGGCUUGUGGAAGCGCUGUCGCUCAACGGAUAAAAGGUACCUCGGGGAUAACAGGCUGAUCUUGCCCAAGAGUCCAUAUCGACGGCAUGGUUUGGCACCUCGAUGUCGGCUCGUCGCAUCCUGGGGCUGGAGUAGGUCCCAAGGGUUGGGCUGUUCGCCCAUUAAAGCGGUACGCGAGCUGGGUUUAGAACGUCGUGAGACAGUUCGGUCCCUAUCCGCUGCGCGCGUUGGAAAUUUGAGAGGAUCUGACCCUAGUACGAGAGGACCGGGUUGGACGAACCUCUGGUGUGUCAGUUGUCCUGCCAAGGGCACCGCUGAUUAGCUACGUUCGGGAUGGAUAACCGCUGAAAGCAUCUAAGCGGGAAGCCGGCCUCAAGAUGAGAUUUCCAUGGGGCGAGAGGCUCCCAGUAGACGACUGGGUUGAUAGGCCGGAUGUGGAAGUGGGGACUAACGACCCAUGCAGCUGACCGGUACUAAUAAGCCGAUAACUUGACACCACA
rnacentral:rRNA from 1 species